rnacentral:rRNA from 1 species
CCUACGGGAGGCAGCAGUGGGGAAUAUUGCACAAUGGGGGAAACCCUGAUGCAGCGACGCCGCGUGAGUGAAGAAGUAUUUCGGUACGUAAAGCUCUAUCAGCAGGGAAGAAAAUGACGGUACCUGACUAAGAAGCCCCGGCUAACUACGUGCCAGCAGCCGCGGUAAUACGUAGGGGGCAAGCGUUAUCCGGAUUUACUGGGUGUAAAGGGAGCGUAGACGGCAGCGCAAGUCUGGAGUGAAAUCCCAUGGCUUAACCAUGGAACUGCUUUGGAAACUGUGCAGCUGGAGUGCAGGAGAGGUAAGCGGAAUUCCUAGUGUAGCGGUGAAAUGCGUAGAUAUUAGGAGGAAUACUCAUUGCGAAGGCGACCUACUGGAACAUGACUGACGCUCAUGCACGAAAGCGUGGGGAGCAAACAGGAUUAGAUACCCGAGUAGCC